rnacentral:rRNA from 1 species
AUUGAACGCUGGCGGCAGGCCUAACACAUGCAAGUCGAACGGUAACAGGAAGCAGCUUGCUGCUUUGCUGACGAGUGGCGGACGGGUGAGUAAUGUCUGGGAAACUGCCCGAUGGAGGGGGAUAACUACUGGAAACGGUAGCUAAUACCGCAUAACGUCGCAAGACCAAAGAGGGGGACCUUAGGGCCUCUUGCCAUCGGAUGUGCCCAGAUGGGAUUAGCUAGUAGGUGGGGUAACGGCUCACCUAGGCGACGAUCCCUAGCUGGUCUGAGAGGAUGACCCGCCCCACUGGAACUGGACCCCGGGCCAGACCCCUACGGGAGGCAACAGUGGGUAAUAUUGCCCAAUGGGCGCAACCCUGAUGCACCCAUGCCGGGUGUAUGAAGAAGGCCUUCGGGUUUUAAAGUACUUUAAGGGGGGGGGAAGGGAAUAAAUUUAAUACCUUGCCUCUUUGACGUUACCCGCAGAAGAAGCACCGGCUAACCCCGU